AUGUUGUCGUCGGAAGAAAUUAAUGAAGUAAAAAAAGAUUGAAAACUUGUUAGAUUUGAUUUGCAUAGAAGAAUGUAACAUCGAUGUAGAUGAAAAUUUGAUUUUACCCAUUUCCCCAAAAGCAAAGAGAAUCCAAUUAAAAGCAUCCACAUCAAAAUUAAACCCCAACAGAUGGGAGGAUGAGGUUGUUACUGAGGAUAGUACCGUACAUAAUGACAUAACAAAAUAUUUAAAUCUUAAAAUUUCAAUUGAGGAAGAGGAUAUACUUCAAAAGGAUGUCCUACUUUGGUGGAAACGACAAGAAAAAGAUUUGC